rnacentral:rRNA from 1 species
AACGUGGUGAACUGAAACAUCUAAGUAACCAUAGGAAGAGAAAACAAAAGUGAUUCCGUUAGUAGUGGCGAGCGAACGCGGAUUAGCCCAAACCAAUGUUGUUACGGCAAUAUUGGGGUUGUAGGGCUGCGACAUUAGAAUCUUAGAGAACUAGAAUCGUUUGGAAAGACGAACCGCAGAGAGUGAUAGUCUCGUAUAGGUAAUCGAAGAGGACAUAGCAGUACCCUGAGUAGUGCGGGACACGUGUAAUCCUGUAUGAAUCCACCGGGACCAUCCGGUAAGGCUAAAUACUCCUGAAAGACCGAUAGUGAACUAGUACCGUGAGGGAAAGGUGAAAAGAACCCUAAGUAAGGGAGUGGAAGAGAACCUGAAACCGUACGCCUACAAGCGGUCGAAGCACAUUUACUGUGUGACGGCGUGCCUUUUGCAUAAUGAGCCUACGAGUUACUGUUGCUAGCAAGGUUAAAGAUUUAAGGUCUGGAGCCGUAGCGAAAGCGAGUCUGAAUAGGGCGCCAUAGUUAGUAGUAGUAGACGCGAAACCGAGUGAUCUACCCAUGGGCAGGUUGAAGCUGUGGUAACACACAGUGGAGGACCGAACCAGUUGACGUUGAAAAGUCUUUGGAUGACCUGUGGGUAGGGGUGAAAGGCCAAUCAAACUCGGAAAUAGCUCGUACUCCCCGAAAUGCAUUUAGGUGCAGCGUUGAGACAAAGUUUUAUAGAGGUAGAGCUACUGAUUGGAUGCGGGGGCUUCACCGCCUACCAAUUCCUGACAAACUCCGAAUGCU